rnacentral:lncRNA from 1 species
AUCUUACGCCCGUCGCCCUGAGUACGUUAGCGGAAAUGGCUCCGAGAGGCUUUGACGCAUGUGUACCUUUUUAGUGGCGGUAUCUCGGCCGGGGAUUUUCGGGCUCCAGUGGAGGUGGCUAUGCUCACCCCAUCUCCCUUGAGAGGCACAGAAGGUUAGAGAUGUGUGCGAGGAACGGCCAGGUCCAGCGUCUCCUCGUUGCUGCCCCUUGAGCCCGGGACCGGCGCCAAUGCGCGCCCGGGUUCUUGGGUUCUUUCGUCCCGCAGACCUGCCUUGGUGUGGCGUCCCUGGGCCGUAGCUUCCGAAGGCUGCAGCCGACCUGGUCGGGGUCCUCUAGCCCGCCUUCCCCUUCCCCCAUUGACAGAUGGAGAAACUGAGGCCCAGGCCAAAAAAUAUCUCACUAGAGGGCUCACCGCCAUUUCCUGGAAAAAUUGGGGCUGGGACUCAACGGACGCUCGUCCAGCAGCAGCGCGGAGCUCCGAAGUAAAGGCGCCCGUGACCGAGUGCUUUGUCCUUACAAGCGUGGUGUUCUUGAAUGCUUCCAGGCGCCUUAUGAGGCCCCCGAUGUACAAUCUGUGCUUAACUAAACCCCACUGUCUUCCAGGGUCAGGUUGGCCAUCCGCAGGCGUAGUUGCUAGGAAGGUUUGACAGAUGUCCGCCUGUUGAUUCAGACGUUCCCAGGAUUUGGAGCAAGAAGAGCAAGGAAGGCCAGGCGCGGUGGCUCACGUUUGUAAUCCCAGCACUUUGGGAGGCCGAGGCGGGCGGAUCACGAGGUCAGGAGUUCGAGACCAGCCUGGCCAGCAUGGUGAAACCCCGUCUCUACUAAAAAUACAAAAGAAAAUUAGCCGGGUGUGGUGGCACAUGCCUGUAGUCCCACCUACUUGGGAGGCUGAGGCAGGAGAAUUGUUUGACCUGGCAGGCGGAGGUUGCAGUGAGCCGAGAUUGCGCCACUGCACUCCAGUCUGGGCGACAGAGCGAGACUCUGUCUCAGAAAAAAAAAAGAGCAAGGAGGUGUUGAAAAUGGGUUUCCUGGCUGGGCGUGGUGGCUCACGCUUGUAAUCCCAGCACUUUGGGAAGCUGAGGUGGGCGGAUCACUUGAGGUCAGGAGUUUGAGACCAGCCUGGCCAACAUGGUGAAACACCGUCUCCACUAAAAAUAGAAAAAUUAACUGGGUGUGGUGGAGGGCGCCUGUAAUCCCAGCUAAUCAGGAAGCUGAGACAGGAGGAUCGCUUGAACCCAGGAGGCGGAGGUUGCAGUGAGCCGAGAUUGCUCCAUUGCACUCCAGCCUGGGCGAUAGAGUGAGACUCAGCCUCAAAAAAAAAAAAAAAAAAAAAUUCGCCAGGUGUGGUGGUGUGCGCCUAUAAUCCCAGCUACUCAGGAGGCAGAGGCACAAGAAUGGCUUGAAUCACUUGAACCUGGGAGGCAGAGGUUACAAUGAGCCGAGAUGGCACCACUGCACUCCAGCCUGGGCGACAGAGCGAGACUCCGACUUCCCAUCUUAAAAAAAAAAAAAAAAAAAAAAAAGAAGUGUAAAGAUGUGAUUAUGUGGCAGGGGGUAAGGGUUAAAAAGAAAACAAGAACAAGUUUUCCUCUGCUUAGCCAGCUUACUUCAAGGACAGUUAUAACACUGAAAAGUCGAGGCCAAAGGAAUGGGCUCCAGACAGCCUCCUCCGGAGCAAAGUUGAAAAGAAAAAUUCCUUUACUGUCUCUCCUUUUCUGAACCAUUAAAUAUGACUGUUUGCCAAUGGUUGUAUUUAGUAAGAUUUGUAGACUCUGUUUUUCUUUUGACACAGCUGCAAGGCCAACAGCUGUGCAAAGCCACAAGUUAUGCUAAGUCAGCAGUUAUGCUAUAGAUUACAUGACCUGUGACUGUAUCAUUAACUGCUUUUGUUUUGCUUCUGUAAGUUUGCCUAUAAAAACCACACUCAGUCUUUGUUCAAUGGUCAGCUUUUCAGAUACAAAUCCACUGAGCCGGUGUACAUCUAAAUAAAUCCUCCUGUUUCCCGUGUCA